ensembl:lncRNA
CAGAAGAGGUUGGAAACGCGUAGAGAUUUUUUAAUUCUCUCCUGCAGGUUGAGGAGGAACCGCGCGCAGCUCCGUGAUGCUGAGUGUGUGUGUGAUGUGUGUGUGAUGUGUGUAUGCAUAUGUGUAUUAAUGUUAGAGCGUGAGCGUGAGCGUGAGUGUGAGUGUGUGUGUGAGUGCGCGCCCACACAUGAGAUUUGAGCAGCAGCCCAGCAGAUGAUCACAGUUUCCAUCAUGCACGCAGUGAAGCUCAGAAGCUGAACCACUGCGCUCGGAUCAGCGGCUCUUCUUCUCCUGCUCCUUCUUCACACUCGGCUCUUCUCUGGACUCCGGCUCUCCUGGUCUUUCUGGAGGAGUUUUCACACCUGAACAGGAUCCUGUUUUUAAUCCAAGUUUAUUUCAGGUGUGAAAGUGGGGGAGAACCAUGUUGCGCGUGCUUCAGGGACUGCUGCUCUUGUGGAGCUUUUCUCUCAGAAACCCUGUCUCUGCUGCCACGACUGUAGAGGGUGAGUAGGGUGCAGGGGUUUUUCUUCUUCUGAACUUCAGAACGCACACAGAUCAGGACUAUUAAGGUUUGGUUUGGGUUUUGGUGCGCAGUUUUGCCUCCAGAAGACUUUUUAAAAACCUUUUGCAGGUUUUCAUGUUGUUGGCAGGCUGUGGUGAUCUUCUGAACUUAUGUGCUAGAACGCUCAGUCAGUUUGUAAUGAUCUCUCUCUCUCUCUCUCUCUCUCUCUCUCUCUCUCUCUCUCUCUCUCUCCCUCCUGGGAUUGGAACAUCUGGGAUUGGGAUUUUUAGACCAUCUCAAAGUGCCUCUUGGAACCUUUUGGAACAUGAAUGGUUCCUAAAUGAACCUUUUAGUUUAUUAAAGAACCUUGAUAUUGUAAUGGUAUGUGAUAUUCACAAUGUUCAUGAUAUUUGGGUUUGAAAGUGGAAAAAAUCUGUCACUGGUAUGUGUGUGUGAGAGAGAGAGAGAGAGAGAGAGAGAGAGCGCGCAAGAGAGAGACACAGAGCUCCAUAGCUUUCUUUUCUUUUUGUCCCGAUUUUGGGUUUGGCUUGGCAUGAAGGUUCUUCUACUAAAAUAACCAGACUUUAAAAAGUUCCUAAAUGGAACCUUUUGCAGGUUUGCAUGGUGUUGGAAGUCUUUAGUGACCUUCUAAACUUGCGUGUUAGAACGCUGAGACUCAGUUCUCUUAGAAUAAAAAGGUUCCUGGGAGAUCUUUGAGAAGAUCUUGGGAAUGGUUCACCAGCAGAACCUGAAAGUUGCCUCCUGGAAACUUGUGAAUCAUGAAUGGUUCCUAAAACGAACCCCAAAAUUCUAAAUGUGUCAUAUACCAAAGCAACCAGACUUUGAAAUGAUUCUCUGGAAGUUUAGAUGUUUGAGAAGAUCCUCAGAUAGGUUUGCUAGCAGAAACUCUUAAACGUGCCUCCAAGAACCUUUUGAAACGUGAAUGGCUCCUACACAAGCAAUUGUCCUGAUAUUUACGAGUGAAAAGGGAAAGUGUUUAUUUUGGGCUUUGCUUGGUGUAGGUUCUUCUACCGAAACAUCUAGAGUUUGAAAUGUUCCUCUGGAAGUGUGUGUUGAUCUUCUCAUCUACUCUGCCAUUGCUAAUUGUCGUGCUAUUGCUAAUUGGUGGCUACCAGCUACAGAGGCAGCAUUUUAAAUAAAAAUAUACGUUUUCUUACUAAACUAUUUAGCAAAAACCUCAUAUGGUGAUUGAAGUAUUAUGGUACAAUAUUUUUUUUAUGAAAUAAUGUUGUUGUGUUAAAAUAGUUUACAAAACAGAUAACAUUGGAAAUAAAUCGAUAAGAAUGUAAUGAAAGAUUAUUAAGCGUGGUGUGUCGAAUGGUUCUGUAUUUCAUUUUGUAAAGAAUUUUCAUUUUCCUUGCUCUUAAAGGAGCAGUUUGUAAGUUUUAGCAUUAAUAGCGCCCUCUGUUGGCUGUGAAGUGAAUGGCAGUAAACACAUUAACAACACUCCUCCUUCCCUCUGUCUUGUGAGCUGUCUAAUAAGGAAACUGGGUGGGGCUGAGCUCUCUGUUCUGGGUGGAGGCGGAGUUCAUGUCGGGGCCAGAAACCUGAAAUGAAAAUAGCGCGUCAGAGUUCUUAAAUGACCUGAAAAUCACACAGUCACAUUCUUUUAAUUCUUUCUGUGAUAAAUCCGAUUUAAAUAUAAUCUAAUGAUUUGCUCAAAACUCAGCAUGGUGAUUAUAUGUCGCGAGCUCAGGCUCACGGAGCUGAAUUAGCUCUCGCAGGCUGUCUACUGAAGGAUAUUUUUGAUCCGGUUGAUUAUUUACAGCGAGUCCGUUCUCCUGAGAGACCACGCUUUUUCACCGCUAAUUUCUCAGCGAAUUAUUCUGCUGCUAGCACGCUGAAAUAUUGUCGUCAUGGCGUUCCGUCCGUCUUGGGCUGCGCUGGUGGAAAAGCUCCUCCUCGUCUUCUUUACGUUUCCGCUCUCUACAAGCACUCUGCUCGGAGAGUCAGAUUUGUGCGUGAAAGCGAGCGGUGUGUCAUGUGGUCAUUCUGAACAGACGUCUGACUCAACCAGUCUCUGUGCUAACGCUGCGCUAACACUCCAGCAUUGCUAUUCCGAACAGACGUGCGAAGUUUACAGAGCAGCAUGAAGAGUCACACUGUGACUGUCUCACUGUGACACUCUCAUGCACCUCAGAGCUUGUCUUCUCACACACACACACACACAGACACAGACAUGGACAGACAAACAGGUAGACAGGCUGACAGACAAACGUCUAGACAAGAAAACAGACGAAUGGACAGACAGCUAGACAUAUUUACAUAGACAGACAGAAAGGUAGACAGUUGAGCCACUGCUAGACAUACAGAUACAAAAGUAGGCAGACAGGUGGGCGGACAGAUAGAUAAAUAGAUUAAAUAUAGAUACAGGAGCAGACAGACAGACAGAUGUGUACAGGCAGGCAGGCCAGCAGACAGACAGACAGAUGUGUACAGGCAGGCAGACAGACAAACAAAUGAGUCAUAUAGACAAGGAAGUAGACAGACGUAUAGAAGUGCACAGACAGACAGACAGAGCCAGAAGUAGACAGACAGGCAGGUAUACACAGACAGAGAGAUGGACAGCUAAAUAGCAGAGACGUACACAGGAGAUAUAGGAGACUACAUAGAGUUCGACAGACAGUUGUAUCUGGCCGACAGACAGAUGGCUAGACAGAUUUAGAGAGGUACAGACAGAUAGAUAGAAACUGUAGUAGUAUGGAGACACAGCUAAACAGAUUUGCAGACAUAAAGACAGACACAUAGAUAAAUACAUAGACGCAGACAGACAGACACAUAGAUAAAUACAUAGACGCAGACAGACACAUCAAUUUAAUGACACA